UACGUAGGUGGCAAGCGUUGUCCGGAUUUAUUGGGUUUAAAGGGUGCGUAGGCGGCCUGUUAAGUCAGUGCUGAAAUAUCCCGGCUUAACCGGGAGGGUGGCAUUGAUACUGAUGGGCUUGAGUGGAGUCGAGGUAGGCGGAAUUGACGGUGUAGCGGUGAAAUGCUUAGAUAUCGUCAAGAACACCGAUAGUGUAGACAGCUUACUAGGCUCAAACUGACGCUGAGGCACGAAAGUGUGGGGAUCAAACAGG
rnacentral:rRNA from 1 species